rnacentral:tRNA from 1 species
GCAGGUAUAGCUCAGUGGUAGGGCACAUGCUUAGCAUGCAUGGGGUCCUAGGUUCAAUUCCCAGUACUUCUA